rnacentral:rRNA from 1 species
UACGUAGGGUGCAAGCGUUAAUCGGAAUUACUGGGCGUAAAGCGUGCGCAGGCGGUUGUGCAAGCCAGAUGUGAAAUCCCCGGGCUUAACCUGGGAAUUGCAUUUGUGACUGCACGGCUAGAGUGUGUCAGAGGGGGGUAGAAUUCCACGGGUAGCGGUGGAAUGCGUAGAGAUCCGGAAGAACACCGGUGGCGAAGGCGGCCUGCUGGGAUCUGGCUGACGCUGAAGCGCGACAGCGUGGGGAGCAAACAGG